CUGGGGUUCAAUUCUCCAUUUUUACAUUUCCCUGUGUGAUCUUUUGGGAAGAAGGACUUCCCCAAAGGAUCAUGAAAACAUAAUCAAUUUAAAGAUUACAAUAAUUUGAGGAUAAGAAAAAAAAGAACAAAACCAAUAAUUGCUGGAUGCAUUGACAAAAAACCAGUUAGGGGGCAGUCCCCUUUGGCAUGAAAGUAUACAUACAAAUAACUGUUCAAUCAAUCACACCCAAAGUUCAUUCUUGAUCUUCUUGUGCAGCUUGUGGUCUGGAGGCUUCUUCACGGUGUCUUCUCCAACAGUUCAGUUUCUGGAUUCAAAGAGUAUUUUGGGAGCCCAGAACCUUUCUUUUUUAACCAAAGUGAUUAAAAGGAGGAGGAAGAAAGGAACUCAGAAGAAUUCUUGUCUGAGAUCACAUCAGAAUCAGAAUUUGAAUCCAGGUUAGCUGAGAUUGUCUGCCCUUGGGCCUGUCUGCAGCUUCAGGUGAUUGAAGACUUUCAACUCUCUGAACUCUGAGGAAGCUUAUGAGAAGCAAAUCCAAACUGGGCCAGUUCCCUUGGCCCAGUUCAGAUGGAUCACUGUUCCUUACAUUAUCAGGUGAAUGAAUUACUAAUGAUGGAAAUGACCAGGGUUUUUUUGAAGUUCAUUGGAAGAACCAUCAAUGUUACUCUCUAUAACUGGAGCAAAUAGCAGUAAACACUGAACUUAGAAAGAGCAGCAGUCAUUUUCAAAGAAGAGGCUUUAUAGAAUCCAAACUACCUAUGUGACGUCGCAGCUGAGAUUCUGCUUCCCACAAGGAGUCAGACCAUAGAUAAGACUGAAGUAAACUUGGUGGUCGCUCAAGGGAGAGAGAAAAAAGGAGUCCCUGAACCCCUUAACCUCCUGUAUUCAUUACACAUGUGCCUUGCAUUUUAAACUUGAGAUCACUUUUUCUAGGAACCCUGUGUUCAUAAAGGGAAAUGAGGUACUCUCAGUUUGGGAGAUGUUUCUGCAAUCUCUCACCUCGCUAUAGCUUUUUAGUAAACAUGCUUAUAUAAAAACUUCAUAAUACCAACUGGUUUUUUGAUAGGGGAAGAACAUAAGGCUUCUGAGCAAUGAUAGUAGAAGUCACAUCCCUUCCAGGUUAUCCUGGGUUAUCAGUCUGCUGAAAAUGCCAAUGAAGGUUGGGAGAAUGAAUCCAAAGAGGGUAUCAUACAGAUUCACAUGAAUUUUAUUGUUGUUUUGAUGCAACUUUUCAAACUUCAAAUACAAAUAUGAAUCCUCUG
rnacentral:lncRNA from 1 species